GACGAACGCUGGCGGCGUGCUUAACACAUGCAAGUCGAACGGAAAGGCCCCUUUGGGGGUACUCGAGUGGCGAACGGGUGCGUAACACGUGAGUAACCUGCCCUUGACUUUGGGAUAACUUCAGGAAACUGGGGCUAAUACUGGAUAGGAAUCCUUGCUGCAUGGUGGGGGUUGGAAAGCUUCGGCGGUUUUGGAUGGACUCGCGGCUUAUCAGCUUGUUGGUGGGGUAGUGGCUUACCAAGGCUUUGACGGGUAGCCGGCCUGAGGGGGCGACCGGCCACAUUGGGACUGAGAUACGGCCCAGACUCCUACGGGAGGCAGCAGUGGGGAAUAUUGCACAAGGGGCGGAAGCCUGAUGCAGCAACGCCGCGGGCGGGAUGACGGCCUUCGGGUUGAAAACCGCUUUCAGCAGGGGCGAAGCUUGUGGUGACGGUACCUGCAGAAGAAGCACCGGCUAACUACGUG
rnacentral:rRNA from 1 species